CCUACGGGAGGCUGCAGUGAGGAAUAUUGGUCAAUGGGCGUAAGCCUGAACAAGCCAAGUCGCGUGAGGGAUGAAGGUCCUAUGGAUCGUAAACUUCUUUUAUAAGGGAAUAAGGUGCGGACCGUGUCCGGUUUGGUAUGUACCUUAUGAAUAAGGAUCGGCUAAUUCGGUGCAAGAGGCCGCGGUAAUACGGAGGAUCCGAGCGUUAUCCGGAUUUUUUGGGUUUAAAGGGUGCGUAGGCGGCCUUUUAAGUCAGCGGUGAAAGUCUGUGGCUCAACCAUAGAAUUGCCGUUGAAACUGGGAGGCUUGAGUAUGUUUGAGGCAGGCGGAAUGCGUGGUGUAGCGGUGAAAUGCUUAGAUAUCACGCAGAACCCCGAUUGCGAAGGCAGCCUGCCAAGCCAUGACUGACGCUGAUGCACGAAAGCGUGGGGAUCAAACAGGAUUAGAUACCCCUGUAGUC
rnacentral:rRNA from 1 species